UGUAGCUGAGCCCGGCCAGGGCAAUGUGCAGUCGCAGGCUUCCACGGUCCUCGGACUCCGACAGUGGAAAUGUGGGGGCAGCGAGGGCAUGGCACCUGGAGGAAUGCUCAUCCUCCUUGACUUCUCAGCUUUGAAUUUUGUAGCCCGCACACAAGAGGGUAUGAUGAACGUUCCAGCUGAGCUGGUGGACUGACUGAUCGGAAUCUUGCGCAGGACUCUAGGGAAUAUGGAUCGAGGCAUUCAGGAGCCUCACAACAGCCCCUGGGACACUGGACACACAGAUUGUUGGUCCCUAUGAUCUCAUGUGGUUGGGAGCGUGAUGACCCAUGACAGACAGACUUUCUUGGGACUUGUGCCCUGGGACAUUCUGUGCUCCCACUCUGGCUCGAUGAUGGCUUGACACAGUUCCCUCGGCCCACCCCUUCAUUGGAUUCUAUGUUCUUGCUCUCAGGCAGACAAAUCUGACAAAUAUUUAGACAGAGUGGAUAUAAAAAGUGCUUUCAGCAGCUACCACUUCCUUUCAAGAACUGUUCAGUGAAAAGAAAAUAUAUAUGAAUAGGUCCCCUUACACUGAACUCAACAGGCGCCGGACUUGGGCCUCUCGAUGACAAGGCGGACAGCCUCCCCUUGCGCCAGACUCCGUCCACGAGUUGUAAAACACAGGCUUGGAGGGGCCGCACUCGUAGAUGGGGUGGAAGCCUAUGAGGUGGGGGAGCAGGCUGGGGGUGAGGGGAGACCUGGAGGGUGUACCUCGCUUAGCCUCAAGACAAUGAGCUCUCACCCUGGAGGGAAGGGCAUGCUGCUUGGAGCGUGUCAGUGUAGAUACUGAACCAGCAACUUGUGAAUAAAAGAUCAAUCCAGUUAUGGAAAUAAGGAUGGGGCCAUGUUCUCAGAGCCUAAAGUAAUCGAAGGUGGGCCUAACAGAAAGCGGGAAGUCACCUUAAAAGAAGUGCAGUGUUCUCUGUCUCUUUUUCUAUCUUUUUGAUUGCUUUUCAGGAGGCGGUUAUCCUGGCAUUUAGGAAGUAGGGGUGAACAGGUGGAAGAGGUAAAAUGGGUCAGCGAGGGGAAUUCUGAUAAGCCACAUGUGAAUUUAAAAGCUACCAUAUGACCCCACUGGUAAGAUCUUUUAGAGACUCUCAACACUGAAAAGAUUAUGUCCUUCUGCCCAUGAAAUUCCGGAUAAAGGCAACAUUAAACCAUGAAGUAAUUAGGAGGAAGUUCGACCAAGUUUUGCUUUUUUCCCCAUGAAGAUUAUUGUGAUUUUUAAAAACACACGAAAAUUGAGUUCUUUUCAAAAGCAUUGCUCUAGGGAGUUCAAACCCCGCAUGGGGCUCCCUGCUCCGCAGGAAGCCUGCUUCUCCCUCUCCCACUCCCCCUGCUUGUGUUCCCUCUCUCGCUGUCU